rnacentral:rRNA from 1 species
AGUGAACGCUGGCGGUAGGCCUAACACAUGCCAGUCGAACGGCAGCACAGUAAGAGCUUGCUCUUACGGGUGGCGAGUGGCGGACGGGUGAGGAAUACAUCGGAAUCUACUUUUUCGUGGGGGAUAACGUAGGGAAACUUACGCUAAUACCGCAUACGACCUACGGGUGAAAGCAGGGGAUCUUCGGACCUUGCGCGAUUGAAUGAGCCGAUGUCGGAUUAGCUAGUUGGCGGGGUAAAGGCCCACCAAGGCGACGAUCCGUAGCUGGUCUGAGAGGAUGAUCAGCCACACUGGAACUGAGACACGGUCCAGACUCCUACGGGAGGCAGCAGUGGGGAAUAUUGGACAAUGGGCGCAAGCCUGAUCCAGCCAUACCGCGUGGGUGAAGAAGGCCUUCGGGUUGUAAAGCCCUUUUGUUGGGAAAGAAAAGCAGCAGGUUAAUACCCCGCUGUUCUGACGGUACCCAAAGAAUAAGCACCGGCUAACAUCGUG